GCAGUGCGUGGCCGAAUGGUUACGCUGUCCGCUUUGUAAGCGGAUUAUUCUGGGUUCGAUUCCCAUCUGCUCCA
rnacentral:tRNA from 1 species